rnacentral:rRNA from 1 species
UACGAAGGGGGCUAGCGUUGUUCGGAAUAACUGGGCGUAAAGGGCACGUAGGCGGUUUGUUAAGUCGGGGGUGAAAUCCUGAGGCUCAACCUCAGAACUGCCUUCGAUACUGGCAAUCUCGAGUCCGGAAGAGGUUGGUGGAACAGCUAGUGUAGAGGUGAAAUUCGUAGAUAUUGGGAAGAACACCAAUGGCGAAGGCAGCUCGCUGGGACGGUACUGACGCUGAGACGCGAAAGCGUGGGGAGCAAACAGG